rnacentral:rRNA from 1 species
UACGUAGGGUGCAAGCGUUGUCCGGAAUUAUUGGGCGUAAAGAGCUCGUAGGCGGUCUGUCGCGUCGGAUGUGAAAACCCAGGGCUCAACCCUGGGCCUGCAUUCGAUACGGGCAGACUAGAGUUCGGUAGGGGAGACUGGAAUUCCUGGUGUAGCGGUGAAAUGCGCAGAUAUCAGGAGGAACACCGGUGGCGAAGGCGGGUCUCUGGGCAUGUCCUGACGCUGAGGAGCGAAAGUGUGGGGGAGCGAACAGG